rnacentral:rRNA from 1 species
GUGAAGCAUCCCUGUUAAGUCAGGCAACGAGCGAGACCCACGCCCACAGUUGCCAGCGUACUCUCCGGAGUGACGGGUACACUGUGGGGACCGCCGCUGCUAAAGCGGAGGAAGGAAUGGGCAACGGUAGGUCAGUAUGCCCCGAAUAUCCCGGGCUACACGCGAGCUACAAUGGUUGGUACAAUGGGUAUCUACCCCGAAAGGGGACGGGAAUCUCCUAAAACCAAUCUUAGUUCGGAUUGAGGGCUGCAACUCGCCCUCAUGAAGCUGGAAUCCGUAGUAAUCGCGUUUCAACAGAACGCGGUGAAUACGUCCCUGCUCCUU